UUGUUUCUUUAUGGGAUUGUUUCUUAAUCAUUUUACUGUUUCUUUAUGAGACUGUUUAUGUAAAUUGACUCUAUAACCAUGUAGUUGUAUAUAUUGCUGUUUUAAGAUUUAGAAUUCAAAUGAUGCGGCGCUGAUAGAUAUUAACUAUAUGCUAUAGAGUUUUUUGACUUCUGUAAUUUGAUCGCACCUUCCACUUAAGAGCAAUCUUCACGGACAGUUGCCGUGCAAGCUGUCACCGAUACUGUCAAAUAUAUAUGACCUCAGCUGUUAAUUCUCUUGUGCUAUGUAGCAGAUAUCUUUGAACUACUUGGUGAUUUCCAGUUUUCCAUGGCAGGUGGAAAUCUUUGGGUCUUUCAGAACAGGACUCUAUCUACCAAGAAGCUCUGUCGAUGACUAACAUGAGUGAUGAUGAAGACUAUCUGCGCCGAGGAGAUGGACAUCACUGAUCAGCACCUCAAUCCAUGCAAAUGCGGAUAUAUAUGAUAUUUGCGUGUGGUGCUGCCACCACAUCAUAGACAUGGCCAAUAAGGAGACAGAGGGCCGCUGCCCUGCAAGCCGCACUCGCUACGACAAGGAGGAUUGUCAAGAUGGCUGCCACUUGUGAGAGGACGGUGGCAGAGAAAAAUGCAUGGGUGAUCUCAGUAGCUCGGCUCUAUCGUCAGCUUACCAACAAUAGCGCUGAAGUUGGAGAUCUAAUAAUGAGGGAUCAUGGUACUGGUUAUAAGGAACAGUAGUUGCAAGAUGCAGCAAGUGGUGUAUGAAGUGUUUAUUCCAGUGUUCUCUGAUAAAUACUUGAAAAAUGUUGCAUAGGCUGAAUUUUAUUUUGCAUUGAUGGGAAGUUUUUUUUUUUUUUGCUUUGUAGUGAUCUUUGAGAUUGACAAGUCACUCCAAUGCUUGCUCCAGGAGAUGGUCA